rnacentral:rRNA from 1 species
CCUACGGGUGGCUGCAGUGGGGAAUAUUGGACAAUGGGGGCAACCCUGAUCCAGCCAUGCCGCGUGAGUGAUGAAGGCCUUCGGGUUGUAAAGCUCUUUUGGCGGGGACGAUGAUGACGGUACCCGCAGAAUAAGCCCCGGCUAACUUCGUGCCAGCAGCCGCGGUAAGACGAAGGGGGCUAGCGUUGUUCGGAAUUACUGGGCGUAAAGCGAGUGUAGGUGGUUGUCAUAGUCAGGUGUGAAAGCCUUGAGCUCAACUCAAGAAAUGCACUUGA